UAAGGAAUAUUGGUCAAUGGACGCAAGUCUGAACCAGCCAUGCCGCGUGGAGGAUUAAGGCCCUCUGGGUUGUAAACUCCUUUUAUCUGGGAAGAAAUGUUUCGAUUCUUCGGAACUUGACGGUACCAGAGGAAUAAGCACCGGCUAACUCCGUGCCAGCAGCCGCGGUAAUACGGAGGGUGCAAGCGUUAUCCGGAUUCACUGGGUUUAAAGGGUGCGUAGGCGGGCAGGUAAGUCCGUGGUGAAAUCUCUGAGCUUAACUCAGAAACUGCCAUGGAUACUAUUUGUCUUGAAUGUUGUGGAGGUAAGCGGAAUAUGUCAUGUAGCGGUGAAAUGCUUAGAUAUGACAUAGAACACCAAUUGCGAAGGCAGCUUACUACACAAAUAUUGACGCUGAGGCACGAAAGCGUGGGGAUCAAACAG
rnacentral:rRNA from 1 species